rnacentral:rRNA from 1 species
UACGGAGGAUCCAAGCGUUAUCCGGAUUUAUUGGGUUUAAAGGGUGCGUAGGCGGCUAUUUAAGUCAGUGGUGAAAUCCUGCAGCUCAACUGUAGAACAGCCAUUGAAACUGAAUAGCUUGAGUAAUCUUGAGGUAGGCGGAAUGUGUAGUGUAGCGGUGAAAUGCUUAGAUAUUACACAGAACACCGAUUGCGAAGGCAGCUUACUAAGGAUUCACUGACGCUGAUGCACGAAAGCGUGGGGAUCAAACAGG